GUGCCAAUAUUAAGAGAAAAAAAGAGAAUUAAAAAAAAAAGAAAAAAGAUAAAUUGGAAGAUACUUUAUCUUAUAGAGAAUUAUGCAUCUUUAUUGUUUUGUUGCUUGUUUUGUGUGCUAAUAUUUGAGUGUUACCCAUAUAAUGUGAUUUAUA
rnacentral:ribozyme from 13 species